rnacentral:rRNA from 1 species
AGCCUGANCCGUCAUGCCGCGUGCAGGAUGACGGUCCUAUGGAUUGUAAACUGCUUUUGUACAGGAANAAACACUGGUUCGUGAACCAGCUUGACGGUACUGUAANAAUAAGGAUCGGCUAACUCCGUGCCAGCAGCCGCGGUAAUA